AACAGUUGUCGUUCGUUAUAGACAUUUCACCUAACCUUCUAAGUAUUUAUCUAAUCAAUAUUUGAACAGUUGUAAUAUUUUAUUAUAUAAAAAUGUACAAUAUAAUUAUAAUAUGGUAAUCGUUUUGAAGAACGUUGCUUGAUGAAAUUAGAACAAACCUACAAAGUAACGGAUAUGCAUUGUGAUCUAUAUAGGACAAUUCAGAAACUUUAAAAGACGGCGGAAGAGCAGAAAUUUAAAAUCGAAAAUAAAAAUAAUUGUGAUGAUAUUUACUUUUUACAACUAGAAAUUAUAACCAUUAAAGACCAUUUGAACGCAUUGAACACAGAUACCAACGAAAUGAAAACAAAAAUGAUAGGAACCAUCGAAAUACUCAAUAGUAAGUUUGGUAAACAGAAAAAUCGUAUUGGAGUCCUCGAAAGUAAUUAGAAAAAUAUCAGAUAAUUAUAAUACAUAAUUACUAAUGAUCUUUGAAUCGUAUGAGUAUUUAUAGAAGAAUUGACAAAAAAUACUACCCAUAUAAUUAAAAUGAAUUACUUACUCCUAUCAGAGAUUGCAAAUGUCUACAUGUUUGAACUUCGGUGCGGGAGGUGUUGUGUCAGGCCCGCUUAACACAUCAACAUCGUCCUCGGCAUCUACGAAUCUACCUCCUCCACCACCUUUGACUAUAAAGACCGACAUUUUGUGUACAUUUUUUGUGUACCGACAUUUAGGGGAGAGGUUCAAGGGAUGUUGGCAAACACAUCUAAGGCGGCAGUGAAGACUGAGAAAGGAUAUUUUAGAAUACCGAUUACUGAAGAAAUACUAAAUUCAGUUGUGGUAAAAAGUUUUCAACCAAGUGAUUGCGACAAACAUCGUUUUUGUUUUCAUUUCGUUGAUAUUUGUGUUCAACGUGUUUAAAUGGUCUCUAAUGUUUAUCAUUUCUAAUUUUAAAAGCUGUAUAUCAUCACACUUAUUUUUAUUUUUGAUUUUCAAUUUCUGAUCUCCCACCGUCUUUUCCAACGUUCUUCAAAACGAUGCAUCUGAAAGUUAAAUCAAAAUCAUUUAUUAAAUCAAUAAGAUUAUUGUUUAUUAAUUUAUUUAAUAAUAAUUUAUAAAUAUUUGUAAUUUUUUCACUUCGACUUUAUAUAACUUCAAAAUAUUAAAAGUUGCGUUUUUACUAAAACUAGAAUUAUUUGAUUCAUUUCCAGUUUCUGGAAAAUCAUAAGAUAUCUCGACCGUAUCAUUCUAGAAGUAUAAAUAAGUAAUAUUUCUACUUAGUUCGUAUUAUAAUAUAUUAUUUAUUUAUUAACUUUAUUAAUCUCAUAAUAAAAAAAAAAUGCAAUAUAUUGUAAAUAUACAGUAUAUAGAGUCGAUUUGUUGUUGAAAAUUUACAAAUACCAUUGUUCCAUAUUAUAUAUAAAUUUAGUAAUUUUGAUUAAAACUAUUAUUGAUCUCAAUUUGUAAUUUAAUGGAAGUAUUAAAAUUUAAAAUUAAAUCAACCGUAAUUUUAAUAUUCAUAAGUUAUGAACCAUAUAACAUAAUAAGUAAUAUAGACGAGAUAUUCUUUUUGUGAUACAUUAUAAUCAUUAAUCAAACGUGUCUACGAGCAUUACAGUUUUGGAGUUGCGAUAAAAUAAUAUAUAAUAUCUUAUGUACAUAUAUAGUAUGUCUAUUGAUAUAUACCUAGGUGGUUACUGGUAAGGUAAAGGUGUUGAUAACGUAUCUAAUUCGCGUUUUCAAUACGGUUUUGUCGUGACGUUCAAAACAAUAAAGUAACAAAUCUGUGUAUCCGUGAAUGCGCUUAAUACUUAGAAAGGGAGUUUACCAAUAGUGCUAAAAACUUAAUAAGGUUACCUGUAUACAUUUUAUUUAUAUUUCAGUACAAUAUUUUUUUGUUUGUCAUCUUAUACCAAAGAUUUGUUGAGAACUGAUUUUGAAAUAAAUAUUUUUUCUAAAAUACCAUAA